UACGAAGGGGGCUAGCGUUGCUCGGAAUCACUGGGCGUAAAGCGCACGUAGGCGGGUUGUUAAGUCGGGGGUGAAAUCCUGGAGCUCAACUCCAGAACUGCCUUCGAUACUGGCGACUUGAGUCCGGGAGAGGUGAGUGGAACUGCCGAGUGUAGAGGUGAAAUUCGUAGAUAUUCGGAACGAAGACACCAGUGGCGAAGGCGGCUCACUGGCCCGAUACUGACGCUGAGGUGCGAAAGCGUGGGGAGCAAACAGG
rnacentral:rRNA from 1 species